UUAUUGGGCGUAAGGGCUCGCAGGCGGUUUCUUAAGUCUGAUGUGAAAGCCCCCGGCUCAACCGGGGAGGGUCAUUGGAAACUGGGGAACUUGAGUGCACAAGAGGAGAGUGGAAUUCCCCGUGUAGCGGUGAAAUGCGUAGAGAUGUGGAGGAACACCCCUGGCGAAGGCCACUCUUCUCUCUGUCUCUGACUCUGAAGAGCGAAAGCGUGGGGGGGGA
rnacentral:rRNA from 1 species